rnacentral:rRNA from 1 species
AGUGAACGCUGGCGGUAGGCCUAACACAUGCAAGUCGAACGGCAGCACAGUAAGAGCUUGCUCUUACGGGUGGCGAGUGGCGGACGGGUGAGGAAUACAUCGGCAUCUACUUUUUCGUGGGGGAUAACGUAGGGAAACUUACGCUAAUACCGCAUACGACCUACGGGUGAAAGCAGGGGAUCUUCGGACCUUGCGCGAUUGAAUGAGCCGAUGUCGGAUUAGCUAGUUGGCGGGGUAAAGGCCCACCAAGGCGACGAUCCGUAGCUGGUCUGAGAGGAUGAUCAGCCAAACUGGAACUGAGACACGGUCCAGACUCCUACGGGAGGCAGCAGUGGGGAAUAUUGGACAAUGGGCGCAAGCCUGAUCCAGCCAUACCGCGUGGGUGAAGAAGGCCUUCGGGUUGUAAAGCCCUUUUGUUGGGAAAGAAAAGCAGCAGGUUAAUACCCCGCUGUUCUGACGGUACCCAAAGAAUAAGCACCGGCUAACUUCGUG